rnacentral:tRNA from 1 species
UAAGUAGUAGUGUAAAGCAUGUUAAUCUUUGAAGUUAAAGGAAUAUACUUAA